rnacentral:rRNA from 1 species
AGAGUUUGAUCCUGGCUCAGGAUGAACGCUGGCGGCGUGCCUAAUACAUGCAAGUCGAGCGAACAGACGAGGAGCUUGCUCCUUCGACGUUAGCGGCGGACGGGUGAGUAACACGUAGGUAACCUACCUAUAAGACUGGGAUAACUUCGGGAAACCGGAGCUAAUACCGGAUAAUAUUUCGAACCGCAUGGUUCGAUAGUGAAAGAUGGCUUUGCUAUCACUUAUAGAUGGACCUGCGCCGUAUUAGCUAGUUGGUAAGGUAACGGCUUACCAAGGCAACGAUACGUAGCCGACCUGAGAGGGUGAUCGGCCACACUGGAACUGAGACACGGUCCAGACUCCUACGGGAGGCAGCAGUAGGGAAUCUUCCGCAAUGGGCGAAAGCCUGACGGAGCAACGCCGCGUGAGUGAUGAAGGUCUUCGGAUCGUAAAACUCUGUUAUUAGGGAAGAACAAACGUGUAAGUAACUGUGCACGUCUUGACGGUACCUAAUCAGAAAGCCACGGCUAACUACGUGCCAGCAGCCGCGGUAAUACGUAGGUGGCAAGCGUUAUCCGGAAUUAUUGGGCGUAAAGCGCGCGUAGGCGGUUUUUUAAGUCUGAUGUGAAAGCCCACGGCUCAACCGUGGAGGGUCAUUGGAAACUGGAAAACUUGAGUGCAGAAGAGGAAAGUGGAAUUCCAUGUGUAGCGGUGAAAUGCGCAGAGAUAUGGAGGAACACCAGUGGCGAGGCGACUUUCUGGUCUGUAACUGACGCUGAUGUGCGAAGCGUGGGGAUCAAACAGGAUUAGAUACCCUGUAGUCCACGCCGUAAACGAUGAGUGCUAAGUGUUAGGGGGUUUCCGCCCCCUUAGUGCUGCAGCUAACGCAUUAAGCACUCCCGCCUGGGGAGUACGACGCAAGGUUGA